rnacentral:lncRNA from 1 species
AAAUACAAUUGCUAUGACAAAUACAAUAGAAAAAGAGAAAAAGAAAAAAAGAAAAAACUGUUAUAAAACUAGAAUAAUCAGAGGAUGAGAAGUACCACUGUAAUAUUGGGAGUGGAAUUAUAUUUCUCUUUGUGGUGUUUACACUGACAGAAUUUCUCCUCAGAUAGACUCCACUCUUUCUCUUCUCUCUGACUCUCACUCUUUCUCUUCUUCUGACUCUCACUCUUUCUCUUCUUCUCUUCCGUAUGUUUACAAGCAAAUAUAAUGCCUAUUUAUAGGCAAAGCAAAUGACUUUUAAGGGAGACAUAAUGAUUUCUCCCCAACAUCAUUAUCCCAUCUUUUGACUAAUACCUCUAGCUAUAUCUCCAUCUUUUGACUAAUGCCCUAUAGCUAUCUAUGUGGGCUUCACUUCUUUAUAACACUCCCCCUUG